rnacentral:rRNA from 1 species
GACGAACGCUGGCGGCGUGCUUAACACAUGCAAGUCGAACGGAAACGCCCUGCUUUUGUGCGGUGCUCGAGUGGCGAACGGGUGAGUAACACGUGAGUAACCUGCCCUUGACUUUGGGAUAACUUAAGGAAACUGGGGCUAAUACCGGAUAGGAGCUCCUGCUGCAUGGUGGGGGUUGGAAAGUUUCGGCGGUUGGGGAUGGACUCGCGGCUUAUCAGCUUGUUGGUGGGGUAGUGGCUUACCAAGGCUUUGACGGGUAGCCGGCCUGCGAGGGGGACCGGCCACAUUGCGACUGAGAUACGGCCCAGACUCGUACGGGAGGCAACGGUGGAGAGUAUUAUACAAUGGGCGGAAGCCUGAUGUAACAACGCCGCGUGCGGGAUGACGGCAUUCGGGUUGUAAACCGAUGUCGCCUGUGACGAAGCGUGAGUGACGGUAAUGGGUAAAGAAGCACCGGCUAACUACGUG